AUUGAACGCUGGCGGCAUGCUUUACACAUGCAAGUCGAGCGGCAGCGCGGGGUUCAGGCAACUGAGCCCUGGCGGCGAGCGGCGAACGGGUGAGUAAUACAUCGGAACGUACCCAGGAGUGGGGGAUAGCCCGGCGAAAGCCGGAUUAAUACCGCAUACGAUCUGUGGAUGAAAGUGGGGGACCUAAGGGCAACUGAGGGCCUCACGCUUUUGGAGCGGCCGAUGUCCGAUUAGCUAGUUGGUGGGGUAAAGGCCUACCAAGGCGACGAUCGGUAGCUGGUCUGAGAGGAUGAUCAGCCACACUGGGACUGAGACACGGCCCAGACUCCUACGGGAGGCAGCAGUGGGAAUUUUGGACAAUGGGGCAACCCUGAUCCAGCCAUGCCGCGUGCGGGAAGAAGGCCUU
rnacentral:rRNA from 1 species